UGGGGAAUCUUGCGCAAUGGGCGAAAGCCUGACGCAGCCAUGCCGCGUGUAUGAUGAAGGUCUUAGGAUUGUAAAAUACUUCCACUGGUGAAGAUAAUGACUGUAGCCGGAGAAGAAGCCCCGGCUAACUUCGUGCCAGCAGCCGCGGUAAUACGAAGGGGGCUAGCGUUGCUCGGAAUUACUGGGCGUAAAGGGAGCGUAGGCGGACAUUUAAGUCAGAGGUGAAAUCCCGGAGCUUAACUUCGGAACUGCCUUUGAUACUGGGUGUCUUGAGUGUGAGAGAGGUAUGUGGAACUCCGAGUGUAGAGGUGAAAUUCGUAGAUAUUCGGAAGAACACCAGUGGCGAAGGCGACAUACUGGCUCAUUACUGACGCUGAGGCUCGAAAGCGUGGGGAGCAAACAGGAUUAGAUACCCUGGUAGUCCACGCCGUAACGAUGAUUGCUAGUUGUCGGGAAGCUUGCUUCUCGGUGACGCAGCUAACG
rnacentral:rRNA from 1 species